ACCUACGGGGCGCAGCAGUGGGGAAUAUUGCACAAUGGGAGAAACCCUGAUGCAGCGACGCCGCGUGAAGGAAGAAGUAUUUCGGUAUGUAAACUUCUAUCAGCAGGGAAGAAAAUGACGGUACCUGACUAAGAAGCCCCGGCUAACUACGUGCCAGCAGCCGCGGUAAUACGUAGGGGGCAAGCGUUAUCCGGAUUUACUGGGUGUAAAGGGAGCGCAGGCGGCACGGCAAGCCUGAUGUGAAAGCCCGCGGCCCAACCGCGGGACUGCAUUGGGAACUACCGGGCUGGAGUGCCGGAGGGGUA
rnacentral:rRNA from 1 species